rnacentral:rRNA from 1 species
UACAGAGGGUGCUAGCGUUGUUCGGAAUUACUGGGCGUAAAGGGCGCGUAGGCGGCUUGCUAAGUGAGAUGUGAAAUCUCGGGGCUUAACUCCGAAAGUGCAUUUCAAACUGCCAGGCUAGAGUGCAGUAGAGGUUGGUGGAAUUCCCAGUGUAGAGGUGAAAUUCGUAGAUAUUGGGAGGAACACCGGUGGCGAAGGCGGCCAACUGGGCUGCAACUGACGCUGAGGCGCGAAAGCGUGGGGAUCAAACAGG